GAUGAACGCUGGCGGCGUGCCUAAUACAUGCAAGUCGAGCGAACAGACGAGGAGCUUGCUCCUCUGACGUUAGCGGCGGACGGGUGAGUAACACGUGGAUAACCUACCUAUAAGACUGGGAUAACUUCGGGAAACCGGAGCUAAUACCGGAUAAUAUAUUGAACCGCAUGGUUCAAUAGUGAAAGACGGUUUUGCUGUCACUUAUAGAUGGAUCCGCGCCGCAUUAGCUAGUUGGUAAGGUAACGGCUUACCAAGGCACCGAUGCGUAGCCGACCUGAGAGGGUGAUCGGCCACACUGGAACUGAGACACGGCCCAGACUCCUACGGGAGGCAGCAGUAGGGAAUCUUCCGCAAUGGGCGAAAGCCUGACGGAGCAACGCCGCGUGAGUGAUGAAGGUCUUCGGAUCGUAAAACUCUGUUAUUAGGGAAGAACAAAUGUGUAAGUAACUAUGCACGUCUUGACGGUACCUAAUCAGAAAGCCACGGCUAACUACGUG
rnacentral:rRNA from 1 species